rnacentral:lncRNA from 1 species
GCAGCUCCCGCUUCCUGGUGCAGUGGUGAUGUGAUGGCAAGCUCUCUCUGUGUGUGAUAGAGUUGAGUGGGAAGUGGCAUUCUUCACUUCAGGAUGAAAAGGAGUAGGCUGCUAGACUGUGGGUCUCAAAAUUCCAGAUGAGGAGAGAUUUACUGUGGGCAUCAAUAUUCACCUUCAAAACAUUCACUUACCUAGACAUUCAGUUUAUAAAGAAAAGGCUUUUGUUUUAUUUUUACCCAGGAGACAAAAGCACGUGACUCUGAAUGGGGUGGAAGAAGCUGAUGAAGUUUGCCAGAAAUAUCACUUUGGAGGCCAUGUGCAGAUCAGAUUUGGAAGUGACCAAGACUGGAGGCAGGGACACCAGAGUUUUCUGUUAAAAACUGGUCCAUGCAAGAAAAGAUGACUCCUGAAAUAAGACAGUGAUCAUUAGGAUGAAGAGGAAGAGAAGAUUUGAGGAAUACUUAGAACAGAAUUUACUGAAUUUACUGGUUGAAUUGAAUGUGAAGAGGAGAUGAAUAAAGAAGAAAACACCCUCAAAGGAACAAAUAUGAAACAAUCUCUGGAAAAUGGAAUUUGAUUUUGAUUCAACAACAGGAGAAUUCUACUGUUUUUCUCCAGCAGCUCCACGAUAAAAGGUAUGUUCAAUAUCAUUGAGAAGAAAGGCUACAAAUGCUGCUUUUUCUUCACAAUUAUCAUUUGGAAUAAGUAUAGUGAAGGCAAACUUUGAAUAAUUAGGGGCAUAAAAUUGACAUGUGCUUUGGUUUUCUUGAUAUUAAAAAAAUGUAUACUAUGGAUAGUCAUCUAGAAGUUUACUUCAAAUUUCCACUGACUUUCUUAUGUAGAAACAGAUAUAAUAUUCCUUUUCUAAAAAGUGAAAAAGGGAAGCGACAAAGAACAAAUGUUUCACGGUUCAUUGAUUAUAGGACCGAAAAUAAGAAGACUGCAUGUGUGGUAUGUGUGUAUGUAAAAGUGAACGAGAGAAAGAGACACAGAGAAAAAGGUGUUUGAGGCAGAAAGGAGAGUUUUUGGUAAAUAAAAAAGCUCAUCUAUACUUAAAA